CAACUGGCUCAGCUGCAGCAGGGGGCCGGCAGUACAGCUGGUGGGGGAGCUGGUGGGGGAGCUGGUUUUCCUAAUGUCUCCGAUUAUGCGCGCCUUAACAUCGGGAAUGGCCAGAAGCCGAAGAGGAAACAAUGAUAAUGAUGAUAAUAAUAAUUCUUCAUCAAACAUCCAUUAAUAAAUGAUAUAAAACUAA